rnacentral:rRNA from 1 species
ACUCAAUAGAUACCCGGGUAGUCCCAGCUGUAAACGAUGCAGACUCGGUGAUGAGUUGGCUAUAUGCCAUCUCAGUGCCGCAGGGAAGCCGUUAAGUUUGCCGCCUGGGGGAGUACGGUCGCAAGACUGAAAACUUAAAGGAAUUGGCGGGGAGCACCACAAGGGUGGAAGCCUGCGGUUCAAUUGGUAGUCAACGCCGGAAACUCUUACCGGGGGUCGGACAGCAGUGUGAAGGUCAAGCUGAAGACUUUACCUAGACAAGCUGAGAGGAGGUGCAUGGCCGUCGCCAGCUCGUGCCGUGAGGUGUCCUGUUAAGUCAGGUAACGAGCGAGACCCCUGCCUCUAGUUGCUACCAUUAUUCUCAGGAGUAGUGGAGCUAAUUAGA